GGGGGGGGGGGGUGAUGCUAUCCAGAUUAAAGGACCUUCCAGUCCCAUCAUAGACAAUGGCUUAGUAAUUAAGUCGGUGAUGCACGGCACUAAUCCGUUUACAUCAAAACAAUCUAACAACAAUCAAUCCUAAUUAAAAUAUAUCAAGUAAAAAUAAAACAAUUUCUCAACUUACAGGCAGUCCACACAGAGAACGUCCACACAGGAACAACACUAAAAAUAACUUUCUAACUC